rnacentral:rRNA from 1 species
GGGGAAUAUUGGACAAUGGGCGAAAGCCUGAUCCAGCCAUGCCGCGUGUGUGACGAAGGUCUUCGGAUUGUAAAGCACUUUAAGUUGGGAGGAAGGUGUUGUGGUUAAUAACCGCAGCAAUUGACGUUACCCGCAGAAUAAGCACCGGCUAACUCAGUGCCAGCAGCCGCGGUAAUACGGAGGGUGCAAGCGUUAAUCGGAAUUACUGGGGCGUAAAGCGCACGCAGGCGGUCUGUCAAGUCGGAUGUGAAAUCCCCGGGCUCAACCUGGGAACUGCACUCGAAACUGGCAGGCUAGAGUCUUGUAGAGGGGGGUAGAAUUCCAGGUGUAGCGGUGUAAUGCGUAGAGAUCUGGAGGAAUACCGAUGGCGAAGGCGGCCCCCUGGACAAAGACUGACGCUCAGGUGCGAAGGCGUGCGGAGCAAACA